UUGCAGCCUGCAACUCGGCUGCAUGAAGCUGGAAUCGCUAGUAAUCGCGGAUCAGAAUGCCGCGGUGAAUACGUUCCCGGGUCUUGUACACACCGCCCGUCACACCAUGGGAGUCGGGAAUGCCCGAAGUCAGUGACCCAACCGGAAAGGGGGGAGCUGCCGAAGGCAGGCCUGGUAACUGGGGUGAAGUCGUAACAAGGUAUC
rnacentral:rRNA from 1 species